UACGUAGGGUGCGAGCGUUGUCCGGAAUUAUUGGGCGUAAAGAGCUCGUAGGCGGUCUGUCGCGUCGGCUGUGAAAACCCGGGGCUCAACCCCGGGCCUGCAGUCGAUACGGGCAGACUAGAGUGCGGUAGGGGAGACUGGAAUUCCUGGUGUAGCGGUGAAAUGCGCAGAUAUCAGGAGGAACACCGGUGGCGAAGGCGGGUCUCUGGGCCGAUACUGACGCUGAGGCGCGAAAGCGUGGGGAGCAAACAGG
rnacentral:rRNA from 1 species